rnacentral:rRNA from 1 species
AGUGCUGAAAGCAUCUAAGCACGAAACUUGCCCCGAGAUGAGUUCUCCCUGACUCCUUGAGAGUCCUGAAGGAACGUUGAAGACGACGACGUUGAUAGGCCGGGGGUGUAAGCGCAGCGAUGCGUUGAGCUAACCGGUACUAAUGAACCGUGAGGCUUAACCUUACAACGCCGAAGGUGUUU